GCAGGCAUGGCACCACAUGCCUAUAACCCCUGCCACUGGGGAGGCUGAGGCUGGUGGUUUGCUUGAGCUCAGUGUGCUAAGCCAAUUGGGUGUCUGCACUAAAUCUGGCAUCAACAUAGUGAACUCUUGGAAGUGAGAGACUAUUACGUUGCUUAAGGAGGGGGUAAACCUGCCCAGGUUGGAAAUGGAGCGAGUUAUAACUCCUAUGCCAAUCAUUAGUGGGAUCAGUCCAUGAGUGGCCACUUCACUUCGAGGCUUGGAGAAACAUGGAGACUCAGUCUCAU
ensembl:misc_RNA Metazoa_SRP Metazoan signal recognition particle RNA